AAUGAACGUUGGCGGCGUGGAUUAGGCAUGCAAGUCGCGCGACAAGGAACCUUCGGGUUCUGGAGGAGCGGCAAACGGGGUAGUAAGGCAUCGGAACGUACCCUCUUGUUGGGAAUAGCCGCGGGAAACUGCGAGUAAUGCCCAAUAAUCCCUACGGGGCAAAGGUCCGCCGCAGGAGGAGCGGCCGAUGUGAUACCAGCUAGUUGGUGAGGUAAUGGCUCACCAAGGCUUAGACGUCUAGGGGGUGUGAGAGCAUGGCCCCCACCACCUGGGACGUGAGAUACUGCCCACGACACCUACC
rnacentral:rRNA from 1 species